rnacentral:snRNA from 1 species
GAAAUUUAUCCCUAAAAGUUUAAA